AGCAGUAGCCGCGGUAAUACGAAGGGGGCUAGCGUUGCUCGGAAUGACUGGGCGUAAAGGGCGCGUAGGCGGCGGCCAAAGUCAGGCGUGAAAUUCCCGGGCUCAACCUGGGGGCUGCGUUUGAUGCUUGGUUGCUUGAGUGGGGAAGAGGGUCGUGGAAUUCCCAGUGUAGAGGUGAAAUUCGUAGAUAUUGGGAAGAACACCGGUGGCGAAGGCGGCGACCUGGUCCUUUACUGACGCUGAGGCGCGAAAGCGUGGGGAGCAAACAGGAUUAGAUACCCGGGUAGUCCCUGUCUCUUAUAC
rnacentral:rRNA from 1 species